rnacentral:rRNA from 1 species
UACGUAGGGUGCGAGCGUUGUCCGGAAUUACUGGGCGUAAAGAGCUCGUAGGUGGUUUGUCGCGUUGUCCGUGAAAACUCACAACUCAAUUGUGGGCGUGCGGGCGAUACGGGCAGACUGGAGUACUGCAGGGGAGACUGGAAUUCCUGGUGUAGCGGUGGAAUGCGCAGAUAUCUGGAGGAACACCGGUGGCGAAGGCGGCAUCCUGGACCGAUACUGACGCUGAGGAGCGAAAGCCAGGGGAGCAAACGGG